CUCAAAAAAGACACUCAAGAAGGCAGAAUGUACUUCAGAACCAGAUUAUUCAGUGACUCUGUGUUAUUAAGGGACCAGGUUAUUUCUACUCUAAUGUACUUGGCAUUGUUUUCUUCUUCAAGGGUGUAUGAUGACAACUGGCAAAAAUCGAGGCUGCAUGCUUCCUUGCUCACAUUCCUGGAGUCAGGGAAGGGGGAGACCCUCUUUUCAUUCACGUAAGAAAAAUUCUGCAUCUGAAGUCUUGUCUAGCUACAGGACCAAUAACUAGUAUCAAGGAAAUGUCAUAAGCAACCACAUUAAGCCUGAGCUCAAGGAGCAAUCACUGGGGAGAAUGGAUGACCUCCAUCCUGAUGGACUAGACAAUGCCCACUCCUGGUGGACGAUGGGGUUAUUUUCCACUGUGACAUACAUGUUGCACAGAGAUGGGGUAUGUUAGGGUUUGAAUAUAAGGUCUUUCCCAAAAGUUCAUGUGUGACAUAAUGCAGGAAUGUUCAGAGGUGAAAUGACCAGAUUAUGAGGGCAACCAUUACCUAAUCAAUGGAUUAAUCCAUUUGAUGAAUUAAUAGUUUGAAAGGACCAUACUGAGUGGUAACCGUAGGCAGGUGGGGUGUGGCUGAAGAAUGUAGGUCAUUGGGGGUGUGCCCUUGGGAAAAUAUAUUUUGUCCCUGACUCUUCUGCGCUCUCUCUCUCUCUCUCUCUCUCUCUCUUUCUCUCUCUCUCUCUCCUUUCUGACUUCCAUGAGCUGAGAAGCUUUCCUCCACCACACCCUUCUGCCAUGAUGUUCUGCCUCACCUCGGGCCCAGAGCAAUGGAGUUGACUGACUAUGCACUGAAUCCUCUGAAACUGUGUGAGCCUAAAUAAACUUUCCUCCUCUAUGUUGUUUUCGUCAGUUAUUUUGGUAACAGAGAAGAAAAACUAACACAGGGUUGGAACUGGUGGAACAAAGAAGAAAAAAAAAUAGAGUCUGUUGGUCAAUAUUCUGUUAGUGUGACAAGAUACAUGAGACAAUUAACCAAAAGCAAAGAAAGGCUUAUUCUGCCUUAUGGUUCACAUGCUUCAGCCCAUGGUUGCUUGGGGUCUAUAAUGACAUAGCACAUCAUGGCAGGAGCAAGUGAUAGAGGAGGCUUGUUCACCUCAUGGUGGUUGAGAAGCCAAAAGAGAGACUGGAAAGGGCUAGGGUCCUGAUAUCCCUUUCAAGGACAUGUUACCAGUGACCUAACUUCCUUUCUCAAGACCCAACAUCCCGAUAUCACUGGGGCCUGGGGUCCAAGCCUUCACCACAUGGGCCUUUGGGGAACAUUGAAGAUCCAAACUAUAGCAUGAAGUGCCCACGAUGCUAAUGUCUACAAAAAAGCACUCGGGUGAUGAAGUUGAUUUAGGCUCUUACCUGAUGUCUACAGACCCCAGAAGCGGGCCAAGACCGGAUGGUCUUCCCCUGAGGAUCUGAGACCUGGUGCUAGAGGGUUUACAAGUUCUACAAACAAGAAGAAGUGGAAAUGGAACCAGAAAAUGGAAAGCAACAUGGAGAACUCCAGCUAUUAGAAGGAGCUGGUGCGUGGUGAGCAGCGCUAGGAACUGAGUAUAGGAGUGUGCCUCCCCUCCCAUCCUGUUAGCUUUUAGAGGGACACAGACAGGACUUGGGUCUGCUAUGGAACACUCCAGGAGCCCAUGGAAACUUAAGUAUUCAACCAGAAGAAAGCGAAGACUAUGUCCCAGG
rnacentral:lncRNA from 1 species